AGCGUACACGGUGGAUGCCCUGGCAGUCAGAGGCGAUGAAGGACGUGCUAAUCUGCGAUAAGCGUCGGUAAGGUGAUAUGAACCGUUAUAACCGGCGAUUUCCGAAUGGGGAAACCCAGUGUGAUUCGUCACACUAUCAUUAACUGAAUCCAUAGGUUAAUGAGGCGAACCGGGGGAACUGAAACAUCUAAGUACCCCGAGGAAAAGAAAUCAACCGAGAUUCCCCCAGUAGCGGCGAGCGAACGGGGAGCAGCCCAGAGCCUGAAUCAGUGUGUGUGUUAGUGGAAGCGUCUGGAAAGGCGCGCGAUACAGGGUGACAGCCCCGUACACAAAAAUGCACAUGCUGUGAGCUCGAUGAGUAGGGCGGGACACGUGGUAUCCUGUCUGAAUAUGGGGGGACCAUCCUCCAAGGCUAAAUACUCCUGACUGACCGAUAGUGAACCAGUACCGUGAGGGAAAGGCGAAAAGAACCCCGGCGAGGGGAGUGAAAAAGAACCUGAAACCGUGUACGUACAAGCAGUGGGAGCACGCUUAGGCGUGUGACUGCGUACCUUUUGUAUAAUGGGUCAGCGACUUAUAUUCUGUAGCAAGGUUAACCGAAUAGGGGAGCCGAAGGGAAACCGAGUCUUAACUGGGCGUUAAGUUGCAGGGUAUAGACCCGAAACCCGGUGAUCUAGCCAUGGGCAGGUUGAAGGUUGGGUAACACUAACUGGAGGACCGAACCGACUAAUGUUGAAAAAUUAGCGGAUGACUUGUGGCUGGGGGUGAAAGGCCAAUCAAACCGGGAGAUAGCUGGUUCUCCCCGAAAGCUAUUUAGGUAGCGCCUCGUGAAUUCAUCUCCGGGGGUAGAGCACUGUUUCGGCAAGGGGGUCAUCCCGACUUACCAACCCGAUGCAAACUGCGAAUACCGGAGAAUGUUAUCACGGGAGACACACGGCGGGUGCUAACGUCCGUCGUGAAGAGGGAAACAACCCAGACCGCCAGCUAAGGUCCCAAAGUCAUGGUUAAGUGGGAAACGAUGUGGGAAGGCCCAGACAGCCAGGAUGUUGGCUUAGAAGCAGCCAUCAUUUAAAGAAAGCGUAAUAGCUCACUGGUCGAGUCGGCCUGCGCGGAAGAUGUAACGGGGCUAAACCAUGCACCGAAGCUGCGGCAGCGACGCUUAUGCGUUGUUGGGUAGGGGAGCGUUCUGUAAGCCUGUGAAGGUGUACUGUGAGGUAUGCUGGAGGUAUCAGAAGUGCGAAUGCUGACAUAAGUAACGAUAAAGCGGGUGAAAAGCCCGCUCGCCGGAAGACCAAGGGUUCCUGUCCAACGUUAAUCGGGGCAGGGUGAGUCGACCCCUAAGGCGAGGCCGAAAGGCGUAGUCGAUGGGAAACAGGUUAAUAUUCCUGUACUUGGUGUUACUGCGAAGGGGGGACGGAGAAGGCUAUGUUGGCCGGGCGACGGUUGUCCCGGUUUAAGCGUGUAGGCUGGUUUUCCAGGCAAAUCCGGAAAAUCAAGGCUGAGGCGUGAUGACGAGGCACUACGGUGCUGAAGCAACAAAUGCCCUGCUUCCAGGAAAAGCCUCUAAGCAUCAGGUAACAUCAAAUCGUACCCCAAACCGACACAGGUGGUCAGGUAGAGAAUACCAAGGCGCUUGAGAGAACUCGGGUGAAGGAACUAGGCAAAAUGGUGCCGUAACUUCGGGAGAAGGCACGCUGAUAUGUAGGUGAAGUCCCUCGCGGAUGGAGCUGAAAUCAGUCGAAGAUACCAGCUGGCUGCAACUGUUUAUUAAAAACACAGCACUGUGCAAACACGAAAGUGGACGUAUACGGUGUGACGCCUGCCCGGUGCCGGAAGGUUAAUUGAUGGGGUCAGCGCAAGCGAAGCUCUUGAUCGAAGCCCCGGUAAACGGCGGCCGUAACUAUAACGGUCCUAAGGUAGCGAAAUUCCUUGUCGGGUAAGUUCCGACCUGCACGAAUGGCGUAAUGAUGGCCAGGCUGUCUCCACCCGAGACUCAGUGAAAUUGAACUCGCUGUGAAGAUGCAGUGUACCCGCGGCAAGACGGAAAGACCCCGUGAACCUUUACUAUAGCUUGACACUGAACAUUGAGCCUUGAUGUGUAGGAUAGGUGGGAGGCUUUGAAGUGUGGACGCCAGUCUGCAUGGAGCCGACCUUGAAAUACCACCCUUUAAUGUUUGAUGUUCUAACGUUGACCCGUAAUCCGGGUUGCGGACAGUGUCUGGUGGGUAGUUUGACUGGGGCGGUCUCCUCCUAAAGAGUAACGGAGGAGCACGAAGGUUGGCUAAUCCUGGUCGGACAUCAGGAGGUUAGUGCAAUGGCAUAAGCCAGCUUGACUGCGAGCGUGACGGCGCGAGCAGGUGCGAAAGCAGGUCAUAGUGAUCCGGUGGUUCUGAAUGGAAGGGCCAUCGCUCAACGGAUAAAAGGUACUCCGGGGAUAACAGGCUGAUACCGCCCAAGAGUUCAUAUCGACGGCGGUGUUUGGCACCUCGAUGUCGGCUCAUCACAUCCUGGGGCUGAAGUAGGUCCCAAGGGUAUGGCUGUUCGCCAUUUAAAGUGGUACGCGAGCUGGGUUUAGAACGUCGUGAGACAGUUCGGUCCCUAUCUGCCGUGGGCGCUGGAGAACUGAGGGGGGCUGCUCCUAGUACGAGAGGACCGGAGUGGACGCAUCACUGGUGUUCGGGUUGUCAUGCCAAUGGCACUGCCCGGUAGCUAAAUGCGGAAGAGAUAAGUGCUGAAAGCAUCUAAGCACGAAACUUGCCCCGAGAUGAGUUCUCCCUGACUCCUUGA
rnacentral:rRNA from 1 species